GCUUGCUGGGGGAUUAGUGGCGAACGGGUGAGUAACACGUGAGUAACCUGCCCUUGACUCUGGGAUAAGCCUGGGAAACUGGGUCUAAUACCGGAUAUGACUCCUCAUCGCAUGGUGGGGGGUGGAAAGCUUUUGUGGUUUUGGAUGGACUCGCGGCCUAUCAGCUUGUUGGUGGGGUAAUGGCCUACCAAGGCGACGACGGGUAGCCGGCCUGAGAGGGUGACCGGCCACACUGGGACUGAGACACGGCCCAGACUCCUACGGGAGGCAGCAGUGGGGAAUAUUGCACAAUGGGCGCAAGCCUGAUGCAGCGACGCCGCGUGAGGGAUGACGGCCUUCGGGUUGUAAACCUCUUUCAGUAGGGAAGAAGCGUAAGUGACGGUACCUGCAGAAGAAGCGCCGGCUAACUACGUGCCAGCAGCCGCGGUAAUACGUAGGGCGCAAGCGUUAUCCGGAAUUAUUGGGCGUAAAGAGCUCGUAGGCGGUUUGUCGCGUCUGCUGUGAAAGACCGGGGCUCAACUCCGGUUCUGCAGUGGGUACGGGCAGACUAGAGUGCAGUAGGGGAGACUGGAAUUCCUGGUGUAGCGGUGAAAUGCGCAGAUAUCAGGAGGAACACCGAUGGCGAAGGCAGGUCUCUGGGCUGUAACUGACGCUGAGGAGCGAAAGCAUGGGGAGCGAACAGGAUUAGAUACCCUGGUAGUCCAUGCCGUAAACGUUGGGCACUAGGUGUGGGGGACAUUCCACGUUUUCCGCGCCGUAGCUAACGCAUUAAGUGCCCCGCCUGGGGAGUACGGCCGCAAGGCUAAAACUCAAAGGAAUUGACGGGGGCCCGCACAAGCGGCGGAGCAUGCGGAUUAAUUCGAUGCAACGCGAAGAACCUUACCAAGGCUUGACAUGAACCGGAAAGACCUGGAAACAGGUGCCCCGCUUGCGGUCGGUUUACAGGUGGUGCAUGGUUGUCGUCAGCUCGUGUCGUGAGAUGUUGGGUUAAGUCCCGCAACGAGCGCAACCCUCGUUCUAUGUUGCCAGC
rnacentral:rRNA from 1 species